UUUUCGACAUUCCGAUGAAAAAAUUGCGCGAAAAUCGACGCUGCAUUUAUAAGUCAUUACCGACGCAGAUUUCCGACCACAGCCGUCGCAAAACUUAAAUAUAUAUUGGGAACAAAACCCUCAUUUUUUCUCAAUUCUCACUUCCUCGCCUCACUUUUUUUCUCUACUCUUUCCUUGGCGAUUCACCUCUUAGGACAGCCAAAUAAAGCCGUCCAUUAGCGCCACCGUUGACGGCAGCACCACUGUUCAGUUGAGGUAUGUGGAUUUUUUCCUUCUUCCACAGUUUUUCUCUAGGUUUUCUAUUUGUAUGAGAUUUUGAAUAGAUCUGGAUAGAUAUCACCAUUUUCUUCAAAGGUCCGUGUAGAAUUUUGCUUUGAUUAAGUUUUGUUCUUCUUUCUGGGUGUUGCUCAUAUGAAAAUAUUAACUUGAAUCGUUAUAGUCUCUCUGCUUUGACUAAUUAACUUUCGGACUUAGUUUAUUGUAUUUAGCACUAAUGAUUUUGGAGCUUUGUUAAUUUUAUCUAACACAAAAGAUAUAACCAUCUAUGUAUACUUUUCGGGGGAUUGAGCAGAAGAUGUUUGAUUACCCGGAAGGGUAGCUGAGUGCUUGUUCAAAAUUCCCAGCUUAUUUCUGAUCAAAUGUAUCUACGAAGAACUUACCCUUCAGUUUUUACUUGUAGCUCAAAUAAACAAGAUUAUGAGUGUGAACUUCUUCCUGCCUUCUUACCCAAGAGCUCUGAUUCCGCUUAAAUAAAAGCAGCUCUUCUUCCUUACUCGAAAUUCACAAGAUUGAAUGGCCAAUUCUCCUCCGAACCCUCGUCUCUUCCUCCUGAAGUAUGGAAAAAGGAAGAAAAAGCAGUAGGAAGAUACAUCCAUGCCAAACAAGAAUGGAGAUUCAAUUGAUGAACAUAAAACAAGCGAGAAAUAAUUACUUGAUGAAGUUGAAACGAGCAAUAUAAAAAAUUUAAUGAUCAAUUUAAAGCAAGGGAAAAAUUAAUAUGUUAGUUUUUUUAUGUUCUUUAGUCAUAUAAUAGGUUGAAGAAGUAACAACUUUAUUAGUAUUCUUAAAUUAUUAUUAUUUUUAACUAUGCUUGUAUUAUUCAGAUGGCAUCUCAGGAAAACGAUCGUCCACAAAGUGCUAGUGCGGUGAAACGUAAAUCUAAGGGAAAGAAAAAAGUUUCUGAGACUACAGGUUACACUACCUCUCUACUUAUAUGCCUCUUACAUGUAUACAGGAAGUCUUUUUGAAUAACAAUCAUUUGAAAUGAUCAUUAAAAUCAUGCAUGACCACAACCUUUAAAUCAACAUCUUUUCGAUAAAUGAAAUGUUUUAUUCAUGCAUGUCAUAUGAGAAAUCAUAAAUUACAACGCAAAAUGAAAAACUAUAGUCAAUAGAACUUCUAUAACGCAUAGUGAAAAUAGUCAACCAAGACAGGCUCCAGUACUCAAAAGAAUGAAGUAAAUGUCUCUCUAAGAUGUGGAGAUCCUGCUCGUGCCUGAUGUACUAAAAGAAUCUGAUAUUUAUUUAUGUCCACAAGGUAUGAAUGAAUUUUGCUUAUACCAUUUCAAAGCUUUUUCUAUUUUGGUCUUCCCCUUUGCGUGUUGCAUAGUCCAUUGAAGAAAUUGGUCCAACAAUUGGCGUAACAUAGCAUAACUGCAAUCAGUUGAGUAAUUUGGUCAAGAAACAUCUAACAUAAUGACACUUAACAAAUAUAUGAUCCCUUGUUUCAUCUUCCAGCUGGCAAAACAUACAUUUAGGGAUAGUUUGGUAGAGUUUAUAAGAAUAAUGUAAAAUAUAGUGUAUUAGUAAUGCUUGUAUUAGUUAUGUUGAGAUUUUUUUUAUGCAGUGUUUGGUUUGAUGUACUAAAAAUAUCUUGAAUUGCAUAAUUUUUAAAAAUAAUAAUAUUUGUUUAUGAAAAUACCCUCCACAAAUAUAGUGGAAAGGAUGUGGAGAAGUUUUUGAGGGACAAUUGUGUCUUUAAUCAAAUCAAUGCAUGCAUUAGAACCCAUUGCAUUAAUAAUGUAUAGAAAUCCAUGGUAUUACUAAUACAUUCAUCAAUACACAAUAGGGUGUAUUACUAAUACAAGCAUUAGUUAUACAUAUGUUGAAAAAGUGUACCAAACAAGGUAUUAGUAAUACCUAAAGCUAAUGCAUGCAUUAUUUUUCUCCAAUACACUCAAUCAAACGACCCCUUUGUCAUCAAUCGAUCAACUGUUAGCAGUCUUCCAUGGCAUUGCAAAUUCGCAACCACAUUGUGAAUUUUGUGUUGGUUUUUGUAUAAUUUUGAAACAUUAACCCUCUCCAAUUCAUUCUUGGGUUAUCUGGCAGUAGUUACAAGUAGAUCUAGUAGAUUAGACUUUUAUUGGGCUAUGAAUUGUGAACUCUUUCUUUAGGCACAUUGAACUAUCCCAAGGUCUUCUUGUCCUGUGUGGACCCUUACAUACUUUGAGGUGAGAAUACAUUGUACUCUUAAGCUCAUAAUUUUUUCCAAAUUAAUUAUCAAAAUGUAUGGAUCUUUACAGGUACACAGAGUCAAAAGUUUGUAGAGGUUGGAACGCUGGAUGCUUUGGGGAGGCUGGUUAUUGCUCCUGCUGGGACUAUUGGGUAAACAACAGUACUUCUGUUAGUUUUAGUUAUUGAAUAUAUGUUUUUACAUACGUUAAAUUUAAUGCAGGUUUAUUCCCGGCUUCCAAUCUGCAAAUGCGAUUAUGGAUUCCAUUGUAUCAUGUUAUCGGGACGCUUGGAGUUCCUGGGAAGAGGUACCUGUCUAUGACAGAGAACAAAUGUGGAAUCACUUCAAGGUACACUGUUAUGAACCAGCCUCGGCCCAAUGUCAAUACCUAUUCGGAGGCCACACAACUAGUUAUUGGGCCGAAAAGAAGCAACAAAAUUAGAAGGCCUUCACAAAGGUUGGUUUGGGACCCGGGCCCAAUAAACAACUAGUUAAUUAGAUGAAGGAUGAGAAAGAAGGGUUUUUAGGCAAAACUGUUAUGGAGUAUCUGUAUUCCUCAUCCCCUUUCUUUGACCAGUUCUGACUCUCAUCCCUUUCUUCUAGUUCUACAAUUUCCAUUUUAGUACUUAGAUUCCUUUGUAAUUUCAUUACGAGUUAGUGAAAUAUAUCUAUCGGUUGUUUUAGUUUGAAUUGCAUUGGUCUAGUUAUUGAGUUUGUUACAUUGGUGCUCUCGUUGAGAGGUUUCUCUAAUGGAGGACCACAAAGUACUCAAGAUUUUCGUUGAUGAUUCAAUUCGUGAUUCAAUCAAAGAAAUGAAGGAUUCUAUCUCUAAAGAUCUCGCUGAAUUUCGUUCUGUGCUGCUGGAGGCUUUGGGGAAAAAUGUUACAACCUCUUUUCAACCCCCAAACACAGUUAUGGAUGCUAAAUUAUGGCAGUUUCGAGGUGAGAAUCUGGAGGCUUGGAUAGUCCAAGUGGAGCAUUAUUUUGAUUUCUACAAUAUUGAGGAAGAUCAAAAGCUUACCGUGGCAUCAUUCUACCUUGAUGGUGAAGCAUUAGACUGGUACCGAUGGUUAUUUAGGAACAAUCAGUUAAUUGAUUGGCCACAUUUUGCUGCUAAGGUGAGAAUUCGAUUUAAACCAAAAGAACUUGAGUCUGUGAGAGGGAGCAACAUAACGAACUCACUUUUGCCACAACAUUAUGCUAAGCAAUCAGAAUUCGAAAGUAAUGCAGGUCAGGUGUUUGAUCAAUUUUCUGAUAGGUCUAAAGGGGCAAUACUGGAACCACACAAGGUGCGUACGAUGACCAAAUAUACUAUUGAAACACAUUUCCCUACUGAUCCUGAACAUCCUAUUUUCCCGUGUGAUGUGGCCAAUGACUAUGCUGUUAUUGUUGAAAAUAAAGACAAAAACGAGGUAGAGACUUCACUUAUCAUUCCUAUAGAAGAUAAUGUGAUUGUCGAGUUUUACCCAUGCCUAUUCGCCCAGCUCUGUUUGCCCUUGAUGCCUCAUGAUUUUAGGGAUCUAGCAUUGUGUGUGAGCGUGAAAAAUGGCUUAACCCCUUGCGAUUGGUUUGACACUGGGCAACAUACUUCUCGGCCUAAACACAGCUUGGGAAUGGGUUGCUCACAAUUUGCUACUCAAAAUGCCGGUGAGCCACAUCCAAGGGUUCUUGGUAUCAAGAUAUUGGAGUGGCUAGUGGGGAACCAGUUGAGGGCUGCACGAAGGCAGAACAAAUGGAUGAUGUUGAGUUCUACUUCUUAUUUUGUGUGCAAUAAUUUCACAAAGGCUCUAUACAUCCUUUCGCCAAACACCAAUUUUGGCUGGAGCAUGACUCUUCAACCUUAUUCUUAUUUCUCACCAGGUUUCAUUGUUUCUCUCACCUUUACAAAUCGUCCUUUUGACCCUGGUAUACAUGAUAUUACUCUAUCCUGUGGUGCCAAUGGGAAUAUGUUUCCAAAUAGUAGUUUUGUUUCUACUUAUUUUUGCAUAGUUACAUUGUGGAAUGAAUAAAUUUAUGGUAUUGGGCGGAAACAUGUAGGCACUGAUGCAUCGGAACAUUUUUAUAGUUCCUUGGAGUUUCUCUUAGCACUCAAUCAUGUCAGUCUAGUGCAACAUAUAUGGCAAAGGCAGUGGAAUGCACUAAUUGAACACAUUGGUCCAGAUUGUGCUUAUGUUUUUAAGCUUCAGGAAGCUAUGCAAUGGAAAAGGUCUUGCGCAUAACCCUUCAGUGAAUUUGGUGUCACUAAUUACACAGGAGACAAGGCACAUGUCAGUGACUUGGUUACUUCUUGGGUCAUGUAUUCUCCUUCUGAGUAUGCACGUCUCCGCAAGGGUGCUAAAGCUUACACUACAGUUGUGUUUGGAAAGAGCCUGCUUGCACUCGAACAAUUUGUUUCUCUUCGCUACAACUUCCGGGUGCACGCUACUAACAUUAUUCUCGACUCGAACCUUGAGGACAAGGUUCCUAUUGAGGAUGAGAGUAUUGUUAUGAACCAGCCUCGGCCCAAUGUCAAUACCUAUUCGGAGGCCACACAACUAGUUAUUGGGCCGAAAAGAAGCAACAAAAUUAGAAGGCCUUCACAAAGGUUGGUUUGGGACCCGGGCCCAAUAAACAACUAGUUAAUUAGAUGAAGGAUGAGAAAGAAGGGUUUUUAGGCAAAACUGUUAUGGAGUAUCUGUAUUCCUCAUCCCCUUUCUUUGACCAGUUCUGACUCUCAUCCCUUUCUUCUAGUUCUACAAUUUCCAUUUUAGUACUUAGAUUCCUUUGUAAUUUCAUUACGAGUUAGUGAAAUAUAUCUAUCGGUUGUUUUAGUUUGAAUUGCAUUGGUCUAGUUAUUGAGUUUGUUACAUACACAUAGAUUAAUUCUUUAUAUUAUUUAUCAAAUUACUUAUUUCAUCUAAUGUUAUAAAUUAUUUGCAGACUCAGUGUGCAUGGUAUCCCCAACAUGAAUAUCAUAUAUUUUGUAAUUUUGAGAUAAACGCUGCUUUUUUGCUUAACAAAACCUUGGAGAGUGCUUGGGAAAUGAAUCAGAAGCCCGAUUGGAUGCUAGAAGGUUUAUGGGCUAGACUUAUUGAAAAGAGGACCACUGAGAAAUUUCAAAAACCGAGCAUCCAAGCAAAGGCACCACCAGGGACUCAUCAAAGGAAAUUGGUAACUUGUUUAUUAAAUUUUCCUUGAUUUUAACUAAAUGCGAUUGAACUUUUAACGAACUUAUAUAUUUUGUUUUGCAGGAGAAGAAAAAAAGGAGAACUAUGACUUAUGAUGAGAUCUCAAAGGAGAGACAUGUGAAAAAUAAAAAGAAUGGCCAUAAUACUUUGGUGGAGUCACAUGUUGAGAGGACAAAUGUAAGAUCUUAGCUUCAGAGCUGUUAUCUUUACCUUGACAUGAAUUUGUUUAUAUAUGCUUAUCAGUCUUGUUUCAGGCUGGGUAUAAAAAAGGCUUGGAUGAAUGGCGUCAAAGUCAACCUACUUCUGAGGAUGAUAGCUUAACCCAAUUGCCAGACGAUGAUGAAGCUUCAAUAUUGUCGAAGAAGAUUGGUGGAUUAAAGAAAGGUAAAGCACGCGUCCUUGGAUCAGAGCAUUGCGUAGGCUGUGUCACGUUUGGAUUUGCUUCUGCUUCUUUAAGUUCUGGGCAGAAUCAGGAAGAGAUAGAUUCAGAGAUAAAAUCAUUGCGGAUACAAGUACAAGAGCUAUUGAAAAAGCAAAAAGCAGACCGUUUAAGACUUGAUGGACUGGAGAAUCUAGUGGUUCAGCUCAUAGACAAUUGCCGAUCUGAAGAGUCUGACAAUGAUGAGUCUGAUGGAGAAAAAUAGUUUGUUGUGCUUUUGAUGUUGAAGCAAUACUUGUUUGAUUUCGUUUGGAUAUUACCUGAAUGGACCAUUCAAGGUCUUUGGAUGUUUUAGACUUGAUUUUGUAUGCUACUUGAAUGGUGUUUUGGAUGUUUUAGUUAUAAACGUUUAUGUUUAAUUGUUCGAAUUUUUGGAGAUUUGAUUGUUGGGCACAAACCAUUUAUGUUAUUAAGCAUAAAAGAGAGUGGUGGAAAAAAAAGUGUGUCACGGAAGAUAAAACAGGAUAAGUAACUAUUAUGUGAACAUUAAUAGUUAAUCAUUUUUCAAAUUUUCUUCAAUAAGCUCGAUAAGAUGGAAUUUUCUUAAGUUUAAACCUGAUUUACCAAUAAGAAAUACUUAAAACUUAUUGCACAAAUGACAAAAUACCAUAGACAAAAACUUUUCGCACUCUAUAUUUGUAUCAAACCACACUAAGUAUCAAAUAGCAAAUUGUACUGAAGCCGAAGCACCUGCCCAGUUUAGUAAGUUUUCUCCACUGCAUUACUAAGGAACAGAGGAAGAAGAAUACUACUACCAAAAUAAGCCAUUUCAGAAGAACAACACCAAACAAAAAAAAUCUUUUCGACAUUCCAAUGGAAAAAGUGCGCGAAAAUCGACGCUGCAUUUAUAAGUCAUUACCGACACAGAUUUCCGACGGCAGCCGUCGCAAAACUUAAAUAUAUAUUGGGAACAAAACCCUCAUUUUUUCUCAAUUAUCACUUCCUCGCCUCACUUUUUUUCUCUACUCUUUCCUUGGCGAUUCACCUCUUAGGACAGCCAAAUAAAGCCGUCCAGUAGCGCCGCCGUUGACGGCAGCACCACCGCUCAGUCGAGGUAAGUGGAUUUUUUCCUUCUUCCACAGUUUUUCUCCAGGUUUACUAUUUGUAUGAGAUUUUGAAUAGAUCUGGAUAGAUAUCACCAUUUUCUUCAA
rnacentral:lncRNA from 1 species